UGCAAGACCUGAAGAUUUAUUCUGAGCUUCUUGCAGCGAAGAACCAGCAGCUGGAGGCUCAGCUGGCUGAACUGAAAGAGAGAUACAAGCAGGAGUUUAGAACAAGAAUAGAGGAAGAGCAACAGUGGAGGGAGGAGCUUGAGGAAGACGUGGAGAUUCUGAGGAAGGAACUAGAAAAGCAGACAGAGUAUCAUGCAAUCCAAGCAGGAGCAGAAUCAGA